rnacentral:lncRNA from 1 species
AGCGGGGCCAGGAGCUGAGGCCGCCGCUUGGAUGGGGUAUUGACAAAUCUCCCAGGACUUUGGAAGGCUGAAUGGACUAAACAUGAAGAGCCUGAAAGCAAAGUUUCGGAAGAGCGAUGUAAGUACGCAGUGACUCACAGUCUGGCUGCCCCACCGUGCUCCUUGGGCCUAUGGAAACAGCCAUGCUCCAGCCCUGAUAAGGCUCUGGGUUAAUCAACUACAGAUUCCGAAGCACGGGCCCGCCAGCACAACGUGGUGUCUGCGAAUGAGCGGGGUUUAGUGUGCUGUUUGUGUGUCCAGCUUUCCGAAACGCCUGUAAAGGCCAAAAGAAACUCUUCCUGUCAUGGAGAGACAGGAGCAGUCAAGUGGAAGGAGCAGGAAAAGCCAGUGUUUCCAAUCCUGAUUUAGAAUGUCAUUUUAUUAAUUUUAUAUUUAUUAUUAAUCCACUCUAGUUUUUUGCCCGACCCCCACCCCUGAGAGAAUCUUACUUUGUACAGUGUCCGGCCUUGAACUGAUGGCAAUCCUCCUGCUUCAGCCUUCUAAGUGCUUACUCAUCAUAGUUGGCCAGAAUAGGGGUGAUAAAGGACUUACAUUAUUAACAUUGUUCCCUUGGUCUUUAAGAACCUUGAACUCAGUGUUUGUAGUUCACUAGUCUUUUUACUCCCCCUACAUUCCUGAAUUUUUUUUUUUUCUCACAAAGUCCAUCAUAAACAACUUUAGAUUGGCGGACUGGAUAUAAGGUCUGAAACAUGAAGGUCUCCCAUCAGAGAAGGUGACAAGGACUCGAAUAGCGAUACUCUCAAAGAGUCUUACCUCUUAAGCUGUGCUGGGAUCCGAGUCUUGUAACAAGCUACAUUCCAAAAGCUUCAAGCGAAACAGUUGCACGAGAGAGAAAUUCAUGGAAGAGCAUUAGAUAGAAGCCCAGGCAAGUCAACCUUCAAAAUAGGCUUGCUCUGUUACUGCCUAAGAUUGCGUAAUUAAAGGCAAGCCUGGAGUUUUGUGCUCUGCCAUGAAUUUAUUUCAGCAGGUUGGCACGGUUUCGAGUUUGCAGUAAAGGAGGCUGCAUCUUCAUGGCUAGUGCACUCUGCGUGCACCUACUUAUCUCUCAGACUGCGCUGUGAUGAGUAGCUGUGUACUUACUACUUUGAUAAGAGGCCAGACUCGAUGCUUCGAGAGUGACUCCAAAGUAUCAGCUCUU